AGGUCAAGCGAAGAAGGGCGCAGGGCGGAUGCUUGGCACUGAGAGCCGAUGAAAGACGUGAUAAGCUGCGAUAAGCUUCGGGGAGGAGCAAAUAUCC
rnacentral:rRNA from 1 species